rnacentral:lncRNA from 1 species
GGAGAUGAUAUACCCUGAGUUAGAGAUUUUCAGGUUAACAGUUAUUCUGUUGUUAUAAACCAGGUUCUCAGCCUGAAAUUAAUGGGAGCAAACUGGUUUCUUCUGAGCAUGAUGUCACCUCUCAGACAUCCUGGAUUAUUUUAGGUAUCAUAACUGGCACUAUUGUACUUCUCAUAGUUAUUGGGCUGGUUGUGUGGAGAAUGGGGGCCUUCAGACGGUGUCGCAGGAAUCAUCAGGAAGGGCAGGAGCAAGAGGUCAAAAUAGAAAUGGACCAAGAAGAUGAGGCUGAGUCCAUGUGAGGUUUGACCCAUGUCUCCGUGUGUCUAGUUAGUCUUGCUCUACUGUGCUUAUAAAUCUGUCAAACAUCCAGGCAACCAACAAUAAGAAUUAUAUUUUGAACAAGCAAACUGAAAAAUCAAUUUCUCCCAUUCAAUUUUCACAAACCAAACAAUGGCAUUGGGUCUUAAAGAGACACUGCUCUGAGUUGUGAUGGAUUCGGUGAUCGGCUGGAACGCGCUUUAUGUGUUCAUGGGUCUGUCAACGAAUCCCACCAAAAUAUUCUCAUACUCCAG